ACGCUGGCGGCGUGCCUAAUACAUGCAAGUCGAACGAGAGCGACCGGUGCUUGCACUGGUCAAUCUAGUGGCGAACGGGUGAGUAACACGUGGGUAACCUGCCCAUCAGAGGGGGAUAACAUUCGGAAACGGAUGCUAAAACCGCAUAGGUCUUCGAACCGCAUGGUUUGAAGAGGAAAAGAGGCGCAAGCUUCUGCUGAUGGAUGGACCCGCGGUGCAUUAGCUAGUUGGUGAGGUAACGGCUCACCAAGGCCGUGAUGCAUAGCCGACCUGAGAGGGUGAUCGGCCACAUUGGGACUGAGACACGGCCCAAACUCCUACGGGAGGCAGCAGUAGGGAAUCUUCCGCAAUGGACGCAAGUCUGACGGAGCAACGCCGCGUGAGUGAAGAAGGUUUUCGGAUCGUAAAACUCUGUUGUUAGAGAAGAACAAGUGCUAGAGUAACUGUUAGCGCCUUGACGGCAUCUAACCAGAGAGCCACGGCUAACUACGUGCCAGCAGCCGCGGUAAUACGUAGGUGGCAAGCGUUGUCCGGAUUUAUUGGGCGAAAAGCGAGCGCAGGCGGUUCCUUAAGUCUGAUGUGAAAGCCCCCGGCUCAACCGGGGAGGGUCAUUGGAAACUGGGGAACUUGAGUGCAGAAGAGGAGAGUGGAAUUCCAUGUGUAGCGGUGAAAUGCGUAGAUAUAUGGAGGAACACCAGUGGCGAAGGCGACUCUCUGGUCUGUAACUGACGCUGAGGCUCGAAAGCGUGGGUAGCAAACAGGAUUAGAUACCCUGGUAGUCCACGCCGUAAACGAUGAGUGCUAAGUGUUGGAGGGUUUCCGCCCUUCAGUGCUGCAGUUAACGCAUUAAGCACUCCGCCUGGGGAGUACGACCGCAAGGUUGAAACUCAAAGGAAUUGACGGGGACCCG
rnacentral:rRNA from 1 species